GCCUCGACGACCCGCUCUUCUCUGCCGGUCUCGUCAACCUCGCGACCCAGCGUAGGUCGUAGUCCGGUGGGACGUCGCGGCUGCCGGUGCUGGUCGCGCAGGUCGCCGAUUUGUGAGAUCUCGGCCACCGGCGCUGGUGGCUCAUACCACCAAUCUGCUAGGUCGUGGCCGCCGGCGCUGGUUGCGGCCUCCUUCGAUCUGCGAGGCCAUGACCUCCGGUGCCCCGCUAGUGAUUCGAGCACUCAAUUGGCUGGUCACCCUUGUUGCGGGCGCUCCCGGUCUGCAAGGUCGCGGCUGCCGACUCUCGUCGCUCCCGGUCUGCAAGCGUGAGUGGACGUAUGCAGUGGGGAAAGAGGAGCGAGGAACUACAGAUGGUUGAGGAUGAGAAGCAAUAAUUGAUUCGGUUGUCAGCCGUCGGUAUGUUCCCUUUCUCUGUACACAAGAGCUUUGCUUCUGUGUGUUGGAGCGAUUGGCUAAAUUUUGAAUGAAAGCUAUCGUGCUGAACAGAUCAAAGAAGAAAUGCUAGAGAAAAAAACCAACCAUAGUAAGUUGACACAUGCCGUCAAUUUGGCCAUUCUGGUGGUAAACCAGAGAGGUUAAAGCAGGAAAACUAAUAUAUAUGUGAGAGAUUUAGAUUUGGUAGAAGAUUACUUUUUGAAACAUGGAUAUCUUGCUGUAUGUGUAUUUCUUGUACUGCAGUUUUGUUACUCGUAAUGUAUUGGCUUAUAUAUUUAGGCAACUGUACAUAUUCCAGAUAGUUUGAGAACAUAUAGAUUACAAUAGUGAAAAACAGUUCUAUUCAGUUGUGCCCUAGCGUGUGUAGCAUCAUACAUACUCUUACUAACAACAGAAAGUAGCACUAAAACGGGAAACAUGAAAGCUAAAUUUCUAUACCCUGGUUCAGCGCAGAUACACAGGAUAAUACACCGCAGUGAGUAGACGUAUGGACUAUGUAGAAGAUAGUUUUCAGGUCGACGCCUAGAGAUUUACAGAAAACGAAACACUGGCUAAAGGCGCCCUACAUGUGAAUCAAAUGCAUCAAGUGGCUUGAGCUCUCAAAUGCAUCAAGUGGCUUGAUGAAGAAUAGCAGUAAUCUAGGAUUUUAUGUGCUUAUAUGCUCACACAAUUUUUAAUUCAUAACCUAUGUAGCGUUUUGAAGUUUGGUGGUUUAUUUUCAUGAACAUUUGGUCCACCAAUAUUUUUCUUCUAUAUUGCUCUGGAUCACAGUAUACCGUGAGUAUUCAAUUGAAGUAAUUAUGUGCCACAUCCACCUAUUUGUUCUUGUUUCUAUACUGACCAGUCAUGUUUUUUCAAGAGUUCUAUUCAGGCACAUCAAUACACAUGGUUUCAGUUUGUUUUUUCAUGUUAAUACCAGGAUUACAGCUCUGAGUAUACCCACUCCAAAAUUAAUGUUUCCUAAUUAAUGGGGGUAUAUAACACUCUUUGGUAUUACUCUAUCUAUAUGUUGGUCUGAUUCUAUGGUUAGUUGCUCUGAUAUGAAUUCCUCAACAAAGUUCAGUAGCAUAGUUCUUGUAAUCUUAUAAGCGCAUUUUCUCUGAAAAAGCAUAAUGCAAGAAUACAGUUUCAGUAAUAGUUUAAGCUAUUAUCUGUAUAUGGAAUCGUCGGGACAUUUUAUGAAAACUUUUAAUCUGUAUAUGGAUGUUAAGUAACCUGUCUAGAUGUUCAUACUUGUACGUACAUACCAGAUUCUUGAUAGCCUUUCAAUUGUUACCUUGUUCUUCCGCUGCUCACCAGGUUACCUCUGCUAUAGUUAUUAAUUUUAAAUAAGUAUUGGCUGUUGUCUGGACAACUCCUGAGAUCAAGGCAAGAGCGACCGAAGAUUGCUAGAAGACUUGUGGAUUUAAGUGUAGCACCCAAGGUAAUAAAAUCAAUUGAGUUUUUGACUUCUUGUAUGACCAGAAACGUAGAAAAUAUAAAGGCGUAGAACAAAUAAAGAUCUAUUCCUUUUAUGGCUAUGAACUACUGUCCAAACGAUUAAGCAUGUCAAAAUAGUGUCAUCUGUAUUUUAUGUUGAAGUUUGACCAGUAAUUUAUCAAACUGGUGUACAAGCUUGCCACAGACCGCACGCAUUUUGAGGUGCUCAAAAUACGGCAAGAGCCGUUUGAAGCCCGCGAGAACACCACCCAUGCCCACCUCCAUUGUUACAGUACAAAUGCUCUGUUUGUUCGUCAGAAAUAAUUUGUACUUCUAGCUGCAUAUAUUUACUUUCGUUCUUCAAAAUGAGUAUAUGAUAGGCAGGAUGGUAGUUAGCUAUAUUUGUAUUUCCAGUAGCACAAUACAAGAGUAAGCUGACUUCUAUGAAUAGUUAGCUAUAUUUCUAGCAUUUGCCAAUAUCUUUUUAUUUUAGGUAUUUCAUAUAUGGACACAUAAGCCAGACUAAAUAUUAUGUACAUAUAAUGCAUUUAACGCUCCCAUGGCUGAACUCUAUGUGUGGCCUACUGACCUGCGAUGGUUCAGACAUGUAAUGGAUCCACUGUGGCUGCAUAACCAAGCUAAUAUGUCAUCUUCUGUUGCAGCCUC